AUCCAUAGCUAUAGCCCCCUGAAUGCACCUCGUCUCACCCGGCCUUGUGAGCUAAGCAGGGCCAGGCCUGUUAGUACUUGGAUGGGAAAGGAAAACAGCUCAAUGGUCC
rnacentral:rRNA from 1 species